rnacentral:rRNA from 1 species
GACGAAGGGGGCUAGCGUUGUUCGGAAUUACUGGGCGUAAAGCGAGUGUAGGUGGUUGUCCAAGUUGGAUGUGAAAGCCUUGAGCUCAACUCAAGAAAUGCAUUCAGGACUGGGCGGCUAGAGGACCGGAGAGGAUAGUGGAAUUCCCAGUGUAGUGGUGAAAUACGUAGAGAUUGGGAAGAACACCAGUGGCGAAGGCGGCUAUCUGGACGGUUUCUGACACUAAGACUCGAAAGCGUGGGGAG